AGACUCCACAAGUUCCAUGCUAAAAUGAUGCUUCAAGUUUUCCAUCCUAUUUCAACCUCAGAACUACCUGUUAGUGCAUCUGGAUCCCUACAUCAAGCAUUCAAAAAUUUCCACUCCUAAGGAAGGAAGAAUGCUGCUUCUACAUCAACCAGCUGGAAAUAUUCAGAAAUGCAGCAAAGAAACUGUGGGAAUCAGCCUCGGAACUUCUCAAGUAUUGAGAAAUGAUUCUUACAGAAUUGCAGGACUGUAGCCCGUAUGACUGCCCAAGCUACCACCUGGGAUCAAAUCAAGACUAUGUUCCUGCUCCAUGCUACCACAGGACUCCCUUAUGCCCCUCUUCCAAUGGACUCUGAAGUCCCCGCCCCACAAUGACCCCUCUCAGCAGGAAGCAGUUGGAAUUUAUUCUUCUUUGAGGUCUGGAAUAAAGAAAACAUGCACAACCCCCCCCCAACUGGUCAUAAACCAUCACUCCCUUUGUUAACCUUGUUUCAAAACUAUGUCCCUGGAUUAUGUUACCCCCAGCCAUAAAGCAAUUCCUGUUCUGCAAACAAGUCCUUCUGCCCUUAUCAGGCCCUAGGCCCCUUACAAACACCAACCCUCAUAACUCUGUCUUCACAUACUGAUAAAGUCCCCUGCUACUUGAAUUGGUGUGGUUGCUGCUCCAAUUUCUGCUGGUCAGCUCCCAAC